rnacentral:lncRNA from 1 species
CGCGAUGGAGCGGCGUUAUAUCGCGACAGUAGCAGUGCUAUAUCGCGACGGAGCGGCGCUACGAAUUGAUAAAUCGCGAUAUUGACAGCAGAUAUCGUGAUACUGGCAGUGAACAGUGACCGUAUCGCGAUAUUGCCACCGUGUAUCGCGAUAGUGGCACCAUGUAUCACAAUAGCGUCGCCAGAUAUCGCGAUAUUAGCACAGAACAGUGACCGUAUCGCGAUACUGCCACCGUAUAUCGCGAUAGUGGCACCAAAUGUCGCGAUAUGGAAACCGAACCGGCGACCAAUGAAUGGGGAGGGGACUGACGCAGAAACGGUGACGAGCUCACAAUAAAAGACACUGGAACUGUGAAAGCGCGUCGCGAUAUAUCGCGAUACGGGCACCGCCGCAGGGGGGGGACCCGACGCCAAAACCUGGGCUGGGAGGUGGCAGCUAUCGCGAUAGUGACGCCUGAAGAAUGACAACUAUCGCGAUAUCCAAACUCCAGCAGUGCCCCCUAUCGCGAUAUCCGCACCUGAACAGGGCCCCCUAUCGCGAUAUCCCCACAACAGCGCCCCCUAUCGCGAUAUCCACACAAUAGCGCCCCCUAUCGCGAUAUCCACACCCAAACGAUGCCAACUAUCGCGAUAUCGACAUGUGAACAGGGCCCCCUAUCGCGAUAUCCCCACAACAGCGCCCCCUAUCGGGAUAUCCACACAACAGCGCCCUCUAUCGCGAUAUCCACACCUGAACAGUGCCCUCUAUCG